UAUGAAGUUUGAGACAUUGAAGGAGCAGCAUGCCAGAAGGAAUCCAGAGGAUUUAGAAAUUGACUAUGAGGACCAAUUCAUCUCAGAAGAUGAGGGUAUUGAGGAUGAAGUAGAUCAUGUCACAUAUGAUUCCGAUGCUACAGAAACAGAUGCUGUUACUGAAAAUGAUGAUUGGGAGGAAGAAGGUGAAGAAAGGACCCAUGCCGAUCUUGGUGGUGGUUGGGGAAGAAUUAUAUACAGUCCUCUACGUAGGGGUAAGCGGAUUGAAAUGGACGUUUGUCGAUCAAUAAAUCAAGAAGGCAGUGAAGGGUCAUUUGAACGGAUUGUUAUUACAAAGAGCAGAAACCCAACAUUGCAUCAUCAGGCGCGAAGAUCGCUUUGGGGUGACUUAUGGCCCUUCUAAAUUUUGUUAGAAAAAUGGCACUCAAGGUGUUUGGUCCAUCAGUAAGAGCGCAGUGUGAUGUCUGAGUUAGGCACUCAUCACAGAGUUCAAAUGUCGCAACAAACAAAAGCCUGGUAGGAGGGGCACGUCUAUAAUCCAUCAAGUCUCAAACUAUGCUUCACUUGCCCUCAGUUAUCAAAGAAAUUAUUUUUG
rnacentral:misc_RNA from 1 species